GCGAGCUGGAGCACGACACGCUGCUACGGCAGAGGAAACUCCUCCCUCCUUGUAGGAAGUAUGAUUCGUAGAUGAUUAGUCAGAGAUGGCUGGCAACAGUAGAGAAAUGAAUCCAACCUGGUGUACUAUGAUGGCAAAACCUGAGGUUCCCAGAGAAGGAAUGAAAAAUCUGACCCAUACGGAGCAAGGCCAAACAGAACUAUAAGAUCCUACACUUUGUUCAGGUAGGCCGCAAAGCGAAAUAUCGUGAAAACAGAAGGAGGGUUACUCCCAGCACGC
rnacentral:RNase_P_RNA from 1 species